GUGCUCACUUUAGCUGCACAUAUACUAAAAUUGGAACAAUGCAGAGAUUAGCAUCACUCCUGUAGAAGGAUGACAUGCAAAUUAAUCUACUAUCUAAUGAU